UUUUUGUGUAGUACAUUUCAUAACAAAUGUACUAAUUUUACUGCAAAUUUGAUGUCUCCAAGUUGUUUAUAUAAAUUCAUCUAUACUCAACUAAAAUAUCAACAUUUCCCAAUGUUUGGGGGAAACAGUGGUGGAGGAAUCCGACCGGGUCGACCUUAGAACACAUGUGAUUGUUUUUCGAUUUCGAUAUGGUUUAUUUCAUGUGUUCUCAGGUCGCCCCUGUCGGGUUUCCCUUCAUCAUUUCAUCAUAAAAUUUUUAAAUUUUGCAAGAAAUAAGUGAAGCGAUGAAGUUUGGAAGAUGGGCAUGGACAUUCGAUUCUGGGACAAGGAAUUCUUGGACUUUUUUUUCGAGAUGAGAUGGUUUUUUUUUUUUUGCUUGUUUUGAUUUUAACUCGGUUUUUAUAUGUUUUUCUUUCGAGACGAAACGAUUUUUUGUUUGUUUUGAUUCUGACUCAGAUUUUAUGUAUAUAUGUUCGAACUUAUAUUAUUUAGUUUUUUCAAUAAAUAUAUCUUAAUUUUUUUUACCAUAA